UUCUCUUCAUCCCUGUGACUCCAGGUAUGCUUUCCAUUCAAAAUUUGCUCAAAUUUAUUUUUGUUUUCUUACGUCUUCCAAUUUUAUUCGUCAACCUUUGUUAAUCGCUCUCUUUAUUCUCUUUACAAACACAACUGCCUCAAUAAAGAUAUUAGCAGACAUUGGAGUUUGGGCAUCACAUUUUUCUACAGGAAAGAGUAUUUAAGCUUCAAUAGUAUUCUUCCAAUAAUGUGAGUGAACCUAUACAAAUAUCAUAUGUAAAUAGUCUUAACCUGUUAAUGGAACCAAUCUCAGAAGGAAUAUUCCCUGUCAAGUUAUUUCCGCCAAGGCUUAAGGAUGUAAGACCG
rnacentral:lncRNA from 1 species